rnacentral:ncRNA from 1 species
UAAUCUGCCUUUGCUUCAGGUGCUUGAUCAAAAAAGUGAAACUGGGAAGUUAGUCUGUCUGAGUAUUUAUAGGAUUUAUCGUGUAAAUCUUAUGCAAAAGCUAACACUGCCCCCGCAACGGUGAAUAGUUAUUUUAGCGAUAACUUAAGUCCGGAGACCGGCCUGUUGUAGUCCUAUAAC